rnacentral:lncRNA from 1 species
AUGACAACUAUUAAAUAAUGACAAAUAUUUUUAUUAUAGAUGAUUGGUGAUUACUAACUCAGUAGUAUUAAUGUAGUAUGUAUUCUCAGGUCUCGCUAGCUACUGAUACCGCAUAUACAACGUUCCAUUAUGCAAAAAUUAUGAAGUUAGUAAUUAAGACCAGUUGAUACAGGGUUUCUAUUAAUCAUUGGUGCAGUCAGUAGAAAGGUGAAUAAUGCAAUUUAUUGCUCUACCCUUUUCCAAAAAAA